ACGGGAGGCAGCAGUGGGGAAUAUUGGGCAAUGGGCGCAAGCCUGACCCAGCAAUGCCGCGUGAAGGAAGAAGGCUUUCGGGUUGUAAACUUCUUUUAAGUGGGACGAUAAUGACGGUACCACUUGAAUAAGCGCCGGCUAAUUACGUGCCAGCAGCCGCGGUAACACGUAAGGUGCGAGCGUUGUUCGGAAUCAUUGGGCGUAAAGGGCAUGUAGGCGGUCUGUCAAGCCAGGCGUGAAAGCCAGGGGCUCAACCCCUGAACUGCGCUUGGAACUGGCGGACUGGAGUCGCUGAGGGGGAACCGGAAUUCCUGGUGUAGGGGUGAAAUCUGUAGAUAUCAGGAAGAACACCGAUGGCGAAGGCAGGUUUCCAGCAGACGACUGACGCUGAGGUGCGAAGGUGCGGGGAGCAAACAGGAUUAGAUACCCUGGUA
rnacentral:rRNA from 1 species